GACGAACGCUGGCGGCGUGCUUAACACAUGCAAGUCGAACGGAAAGGCCCUGCUUUUGUGGGGUGCUCGAGUGGCGAACGGGUGAGUAACACGUGAGUAACCUGCCCUUGACUUUGGGAUAACUUCAGGAAACUGGGGCUAAUACCGGAUAGGAGCUCCUGCUGCAUGGUGGGGGUUGGAAAGUUUCGGCGGUUGGGGAUGGACUCGCGGCUUAUCAGCUUGUUGGUGGGGUAGUGGCUUACCAAGGCUUUGACGGGUAGCCGGCCUGAGAGGGUGACCGGCCACAUUGGGACUGAGAUACGGCCCAGACUCCUACGGGAGGCAGCAGUGGGGAAUAUUGCACAAUGGGCGGAAGCCUGAUGCAGCAACGCCGCGUGCGGGAUGACGGCCUUCGGGUUGUAAACCGCUUUCGCCUGUGACGAAGCGUGAGUGACGGUAAUGGGUAAAGAAGCACCGGCUAACUACGUGCCAGCAGCCGCGGUGAUACGUAGGGUGCGAGCGUUGUCCGGAUUUAUUGGGCGUAAAGGGCUCGUAGGUGGUUGAUCGCGUCGGAAGUGUAAUCUUGGGGCUUAACCCUGAGCGUGCUUUCGAUACGGGUUGACUUGAGGAAGGUAGGGGAGAAUGGAAUUCCCGGCGGAGCGGUGGAAUGCGCAGAUAUCAGGAGGAACACCAGUGGCGAAGGCGGUUCUCUGGGCCUUUCCUGACGCUGAGGAGCGAAGGCGUGGGGAGCGAACAGGCUUAGAUACCCUGGUAGUCCACGCUGUAAACGGUGGGUACUAGGUGUGGGGUCCAUUCCACGGGUUCCGUGCCGUAGCUAACGCUUUAAGUACCCCGCCUGGGGAGUACGGCCGCAAGGCUAAAACUCAAAGGAAUUGACGGGGCCCCGCACAAGCGGCGGAGCAUGCGGAUUAAUUCGAUGCAACGCGUAGAACCUUACCCGGGUUUGACAUGGAUCGGGAGUGCUCAGAGAUGGGUGUGCCUCUUUUGGGGUCGGUUCACAGGUGGUGCAUGCCUGUCGUCAGCUCGUGUCGUGAGAUGUUGGGUUAAGUCCCGCAACGAGCGCAACCCUUGUUCACUGUUGCCAGCACGUUAUGGUGGGGACUCAGUGGAGACCGCCGGGGUCAACUCGGAGGAAGGUGGGGAUGACGUCAAGUCCUCAUGCCCCUUAUGUCCAGGGCUUCACGCAUGCUACAAUGGCUGGUACAGAGAGUGGCGAGCCUGUGAGGGUGAGCGAAUCUCGGAAAGCCGGUCUCAGUUCGGAUUGGGGUCUGCAACUCGACCUCAUGAAGUCGGAGUCGCUAGUAAUCACAGAUCAGCAACGCUGCGGUGAGUACGUUCCCGGGGCU
rnacentral:rRNA from 1 species